CUUUCCAGAGAGGGACCUUGUAAGGCUGACUUUGGAAUAUGACUGCAUUCUGCUGAUUGUAAAGGAGGAAAAGGAUUCUCACAUGACAAUGAAGAGACUGAAGAAGUAUCAUCAAUGGAUAAAGCAGAAUAGAAAUAGCAGCCGCCUGGACCAUACCUAGAAAGGAAUCAUUUUGCCUGGCAGAAGCAUGAAACAGUUCCAUAUUUGAGAUGGCAUUUACCACUGAGGGAAAAAAAAAGUAUCAUGUGAAAGAAGCAAGAAUUGGACUGACCACACACUUGUCAUUGCCAAUCAGAUGCUGCAAAACAAUGGAUCUGUUUUUCAGAGUUCUGAAAUAAAAUGCUAAUCAAACUAGAAUCUGCUUAGCUAAGACACUGCCAAAUAUGAAGACCAAAUAAAAGAUUUUCAGAUGUGUCAUAAUUCAGAGUUUAUACUCCAAGCAUUCUUUUGUAGAAAGGAACUCAAGGGUGUAUUUCAGCAAAAUAAAGAAGUAAAGUACUAGAGCCAUCACUCAGAGAGCAAAUGACCAGACCAGAUGCUAACAACAAACAUUGUGUGACUUCCUAUCUCCAGCCACUUCUGAAGUCAGAUCUAUUUUCUUGAGUUGGAGGGCGGUGGCACGGUAUUGGCUCACUGCAACCUCCGUCUCCCAGGUUCAAGUGAUUCUCCUGCCUCAGCCUCCCAAGUAGCUGGGACUACAGGCAAGCACCACCAUGCCCAG
rnacentral:lncRNA from 1 species